UGCAGAGUCAGGAGUGCUUGGAGAAGGUUGCCAAGACGGUCUCCUUCCUCGCGCAGCCUGAAGGCUCAUUCCUGCUGUUGCUCACAGUUCAAAAGGACCACGCGCUGGAGCUCCUAAACGCGCGCCCCUUCUACUUCGUUUAUUUAUGUGGCGUGAAGACAUAAAGCAAACCUUUGGAGCCAUAGUUGUCUUUUUUGUCAUCUAAAAUAAUAAUGGUAACAUAUUAAUACAAACAAAAUAAUAUUCCAGCUCAAAAAAUUGUAUGUGAAUAAUGAAUCGAUGCUAUGGAACUAUAUUUGUUAUGGAGCUAUGUAUGUAUGGAUGCUAUGGAACUAUAUGUAUA